AACGAACGCUGGCGGCAUGCCUAACACAUGCAAGUCGAACGAGACCUUCGGGUCUAGUGGCGCACGGGUGCGUAACGGGUGGGAACCUGCCCUUAGGUUCGGAAUAACUGCCCGAAAGGGGGGAUAAUACCGGAUAAUGUCUUUGGACCAAAGAUUUAUCGCCUUUGGAUGGGCCCGCGUUGGAUUAGCUAGUUGGUAGGGUAAAAGCCUACCAAGGCGACGAUCCAUAGCUGGUCUGAGAGGAUGAUCAGCCACACUGGGACUGAGACACGGCCCAGACGCCUACGGGAGGCAGCAGUGGGGAAUAUUGGACAAUGGGCGAAAGCCUGAUCCAGCAAUGCCGCGUGAGUGAUGAAGGCCUUAGGGUUGUAAAGCUCUUUUACCCGGGAUGAUAAUGACAGUACCGGGAGAAUAAGCUCCGGCUAACUCCGUG
rnacentral:rRNA from 1 species